CGCCAUGCGUGUGAUCAUAAGAUCCCACUCAUGCCCGGCGCUCAACCUGUUAAUAUUCGACCGUAUCGGCACAAACCUGAGCACAAGUCAGAGAUUGAGCGUCAGGUAGAAGAGCUACUGCAGUUCGGGAUCAUUCAACGCAGCAGUAGCAGUUUCGCCUCGCCCACUAUUCUGGUUAAAAAGAAAGAUGGAACAUGGCGUCUCUGCAUUGACUAUAGGCAUCUCAACGCCAUGACAUGCGUCAGCAAGUUCCCUGUCCCGAUCAUUGAAGAAUUGUUGGAUGAACUGCAUGGCGCAGCAUGGUUCACUAAGCUUGACCUGCGGUCUGGCUAUCAUCAGAUACGGCUAGCGGAAGGGGAGGAAUUCAAAACAGCAUUUCAAACCCACACAGGGCAUUAUGAGUUCAAAGUGUUGUCAUUUGGAUUGGCGGGUGGACCAUCAACCUUCUUGGGCGCAAUG
rnacentral:rRNA from 1 species